ensembl:lncRNA
AUGACAAGUGGCGCUGUUUGCCGCAAACCCCCGAUUCUGUCAGUCUUUACUUCUAUCGCCUCUCCGUGUCAUGUUAACUGCCAGUCACUGCCAGUGUGCCAAUUACACAGCCAGGUUCCCGGGCAUGCCACACAUUCUCUUGCUCUAUCUUUGUUAAUAAAAAAGAGAGAGAGAGAGAGAGAGAAAGUGACAAUAAUGUGUGGUGGGGUGAUGGGACACAUCACACUUCAUCUGUGUUACCAUGGAGCUUCAUCCAACAUUUCUCAUUAAAUUAAAAACCUCGUUCUGAGACGUAUAGUAAACGUGUGUGUGUGCCAUUUCUUUUGUUUUAACUGCGGUUAAAACGUUGAGAAUCCAUCUUAAUACGUCUUCAUAUUUAGUUCAUUCAGAUUUGCCCACUAAAUCCUCCUACGCCGAGGUGAGAAGGCACGUUCAAGAAUAGACUGAAGUGCGGAGAAAGUUUCGUAAGAUAAAGUCAAAGACUUUAAGAGCUUUCCGUGGUUGGCAGAAGUCUGGCGGGUCAGCAGCAAUCAUUCCUCAUUCUUACGGGGUUAAAGAAAUCUCAUGUUAAAGAACUAUUAGUGCACAAGUAUAAAAGCCAACGGCUAAAACUAGCACCUACAGGCUCCUUUUGGGGUGCUGAUUGGCGGCAAACUGGCGCAUUUGCCGUUAAUCAGGUUAGCUCCAAUUACAGGUGUGAUUUAACCAGACUUGACCAGUCAAAAAGCUAAUUGGGCUCAGUUGCCUUUGGAUCUCGGCCUCAGCCCUGGAGGUAUCCUACGAAUCCAUAAUUAGUCUGAAACAGGCCAAAUGUAUUAUUUACAUUUAUGCAUUUAGCAGACACUUUUAUCCAAAGCGACUUACAGUGCAUUCAGGAUAUACAUUCUUUUUAUCAGUUUGUGUGUUCCCUGGGAAUUGAACCCAUGACCUUUUGCGCUGCUAACGCAAUGCUCUACCACUGAGCCAGAGGAACACAUCUUCUAUCUAUCUAUCAAUCAAUCUAUCUAUCAAUCACAUAUCUAACAAUCCUGUAACUGGUGUGAUGCAUAAAAAAAAAAUCCUUGUCAUUCAUGAAAAAUGGAUGUAAGGCCAGUGGGUUAUUCGCAAGACGACGUCCUUCGGCCUCUUUUUCAAAGGAGUAGCAAGAAAACAACACGUUUUCGCAUGCUAUACAGUUCAUUAAUCCUAAUUAACGGUCACAUAGCUUUGUUAGGCAGUUCUCCACCGGUCUAGCACGCAACCGAGCUAAUUAGUGAUGCCGAGCACAAACGACGAGACCCAGAAGCGUGAAGAUUCUCAUAUUCGUAGACAAUCAUCUAAGCAUCUCAAAUUCUAUCAAUAGCACACAGCGGUAAUGUUGCGAUAGGGGGUGGCCGUGAAAAAAAAAAAAAAACACAGGAUAUUAAAAAAAGAGAAAUCCCCUGUGUUUAAGGCGGGUGAUAGCGGCGUAGCGGCUGUUCAUUCAUAUUGACAUUAAGAACUUCUUUAUCUUUUUUCCCCAAAGAAAAGCCCCCUUACAAUCUCUCCCACUGAGCACACAAUAAAGAAUAAUAUGAUUUCUGUUUACCGAGAUAU